UAGAGUCGUAUCUCUCUUCUACUCUCUCGUCGCUUUUGUUCUCCCAUUUCCAACCAGCCACCGCUGCUGAACAGAGGGGCAAGUCGGGUAGGACACCACAACGAGGCACAUUUUCGGACCCGUCCGACCCAGAAAACGGCCGGUAGCCACAUGCAAAGUACCGUCUGCACAGGAGAUACGCCGCACUCUAUAAUUACAUAACCGGACUACUUUUUCUUUUUAUCCCCUUCUGCCAUUAUUGGAGUUUUAACGCUUUUCUUGUUGCAUCGAUACUGACUUCCCCCCAUCUCUUCCGAUCGCUUUGAAUUCAACAAGAUGGAGAACGACGAUAAAUAUCUCCCCGAGCUUCUGGCGGAGAAGGACAGCCUGGACUCAUCAUUCACCCACGCCAUGAAACUUUUAAACGCAGAAAUCGAUAGAUUCCAGAAAGGAGAGACUAAAAAGGAGGCAGAGACCUACCUGGACCUUUUCACAACAAAGAACAUCAAACUUAAGGAGCGAGUGCUCAUACCUGUCAAACAGUACCCAAAGUUCAAUUUUGUGGGGAAGAUUUUAGGACCUCAGGGCAACACAAUCAAACGUCUGCAGGAGGAGACUGGAGCCAAGAUCUCUGUGCUGGGCAAAGGAUCUAUGAGGGACAAAGCCAAGGAGGAGGAGCUGAGGAAAGGCGGCGAGCCCAAGUAUGCCCACUUGUCCAUGGAGCUGCAUGUGUUCAUUGAGGUGUUCGCCCCCGUGCCGGAUGCUUACCUGCGCAUGGCACACGCCAUGGAGGAGGUCAAAAAGUUCCUGUUUCCUGAUAUGAUGGAUGACAUUUGCCAAGAGCAGUUCAUGGAGAUGAGCUACCUGAACGGAGGGCAGGAGCACCGAGGCCGAGGGGGCAUGCCGGGGAGAGGCCGUGGAGUCCCACCUUCCGGACAGCACAGGGGAAGGGGGAUGCCUCCUCGUGGUGGUGCAGGUAGAGGAGGAGUGACGCGAGGUGGCCCAGGCAGAGGUGGUGCAGUCAGAGGUGCCCCAACGAGCAGAGGAGGACCCCCUGCAGCACCCAGCAGGGGAGCUGUGGCACCCCGGGCUAGACCCCUGGCUGGUGGACCACCUCAGAGGAUGGCACCACCCUCUGCUCACCAGCACACCCCUGGUGCAGCUGCUGAAGGCUAUGAGGAAUAUGGCUACGAUGAGAGCUACACAGACACAACCUACGACUCAUACGACGGCUAUUACAGCCAGCCGCAGGCAGAACCAGAAUAUUAUGACUACGGACACGGAGAGACCACAGAGUCAUAUGACUCAUAUGGCCAAGACGACUGGAACGGCACCCAGCGGACAACUCCAGGGAAGGCCCUUCCCCCAUCCAGGGGCGGCAAAACGGCAUACCGGGAGCACCCGUACCGGCAGUACUAAAGCGGACUCGCCACCCUUAGUGUCGCCCCGAUAACUGCCCCACUACCACGGCAGCUCUCGCUUUAAGAAGCCUGACAAAAUAAAAUUCUGAAAUGGCCUUUUUUAAACAACUUUCAGCAGUCAGAUGUAGGUGUUUUCCUUUGUUUCUCAUUCAAAACCGCAUUUUAAAUCUAAAUGAAUGUAUUUACGUCUGAAGACUUUAACUAUACUAAAUGAUGUCUUGACUGAUUAUCAAAAGAGCACAACUUAUUCUUUCUCUCUCUUUCUAUACUUUUUAAAAAGGACCCAGAGGUAAGACCUCUAAAAUAACCUGGAUAGCUUCCUAAUGUGUAUAGAGUUGUAAAGCAUUGAAUGCCUGGGUAUGUAUAAGACUUUUUCAAUCCUCUUACCUGUGGUCGUAAUCGUCAAUGAGAAUUGCUUUUAUAGCGUCUGAAAAUUAACUGAAUUCAAACCACCAUUCAGGUCUAGGCCUCAUUGUCAUGAAUGACGCUGGCGCGAUGGCUACUUUAGUACAGAGUAAUGGCAGUGCAAUGGAGAGGAUGGUUAUAACCUAGAGAACUCCACUGUAAAGGUAACCUAACCCUAAAUGUUUAAUUUCGUAGUGUGUUUAUCCUUUGACAUAAACUUGCUGGUAAAACACUUUCUUAAAAUAUUAUUAGUCAUUGCAACAAAAAGAAUCGACUCAAAAGUAAGAAAAAAGUAACUUCCAACAUUACACAGUAGUGGAUUUUAUGUACCAAAAUAACUGUUUUUGUGUACUAACAAAAUAUGUUAGGAUAGUGUUAAUGCAACUCUAGCUAAAAUGAACCAAGCCAAAUCUGACAAUAUUUUCUGUACAGCUGAGCUGCUGUUACUUUUUUAUUUGCUUACUGUAAUUAAAAAAUGCCUGUACAGUUAUCCAAAAACUGAGUUGCAUGAGCAUAUCUUCUCUUGUAGACUUUGCAUGACAAGUUUCAAGUUUCUCCCAGUGUUUUUAGACAAGGUGUUGAUUUGGGCUUUGUCCUUCCUCCAGGCACAGCUAUCGGUCACUGAGUGCCCGGAGACCGACGGUCUGCUGGAGACCUUGCAGCCCUCAGUGAAGCGGUGCUCGGGGAGCAGCUCAGCAUGAAGAAGGUGGGGGUGUCCUGUUGGGGGGGGAGGGUGAAUAAAAAAAGCGCUGCCCAAAACCCAGUUUGCUGCCACAUCAUCUAAAAGAGUCUGCUGGCAAAGACUUGAACAGGAAAUAAGACUGAAGCAGGUCAACAGAGACAUCCAACUAACUGGGAAUACAGAAUAUUCUCACAACUCAUUUCUUAUGGACUGUUUUUCUAUUUAUUCAUGUCUUGUCAGUGCUGAAUUACCAUGCAUUAUCCUCUUGUAAUUACGUCCUAACUUUGAAGACGCCCACUUGAAGCCUUUGCUGAUUGUAUGCUCCUGUACACAGCUUCCACAGACCUCCCCCUCGUGCUGCAAAUGUAAUUGUUUCAUCUUAAUUUGCCAUAAAAUAAGCCCUCCCGUUAUAGUAGGCUGUGAAAUUGUUUUUAAUUGACUUGUCUUGAAUAAGACAUUAAAAGAACUCUUUUUACUUCC